CUUAACACAUGCAAGUCGAACGGUAGCACAGGGGAGCUUGCUCCCUGGGUGACGAGUGGCGGACGGGUGAGUAAUGCUUGGGAAUUUGGCUUGUGGAGGGGGAUAACUACGGGAAACUGUAGCUAAUACCGCGUAAUGUCUACGGACUAAAGGGUGGGACUAUUUGGCCACCUGCCAUGAGAUGAGCCCAAGUGGGAUUAGGUAGUUGGUGGGGUAAAGGCCUACCAAGCCGACGAUCUCUAGCUGGUCUGAGAGGAUGACCAGCCACACUGGAACUGAGACACGGUCCAGACUCCUACGGGAGGCAGCAGUGGGGAAUAUUGCACAAUGGGGGGAACCCUGAUGCAGCCAUGCCGCGUGAAUGAAGAAGGCCUUCGGGUUGUAAAGUUCUUUCGGUGAUGAGGAAGGCAGGUAUUUUAAUAGAAUACUUGAUUGACGUUAAUCACAGAAGAAGCACCGGCUAACUCCGUGCCAGCAGCCGCGGUAAUACGGAGGGUGCGAGCGUUAAUCGGAAUAACUGGGCGUAAAGGGCAUGCAGGCGGUUGUUUAAGUGAGAUGUGAAAGCCC
rnacentral:rRNA from 1 species